rnacentral:rRNA from 1 species
AGUCGAACGGAGAAUUUUAUUUCGGUAGAAUUCUUAGUGGCGAACGGGUGAGUAACGCGUAGGCAACCUACCCUUUAGACGGGGACAACAUUCCGAAAGGAGUGCUAAUACCGGAUGUGAUCAUCUUGCCGCAUGGCAGGAUGAAGAAAGAUGGCCUCUACAAGUAAGCUAUCGCUAAAGGAUGGGCCUGCGUCUGAUUAGCUAGUUGGUAGUGUAACGGACUACCAAGGCGAUGAUCAGUAGCCGGUCUGAGAGGAUGAACGGCCACAUUGGGACUGAGACACGGCCCAAACUCCUACGGGAGGCAGCAGUGGGGAAUCUUCCGCAAUGGACGAAAGUCUGACGGAGCAACGCCGCGUGAGUGAUGAAGGAUUUCGGUCUGUAAAGCUCUGUUGUUUAUGACGAACGUGCAGUGUGUGAACAAUGCAUUGCAAUGACGGUAGUAAACGAGGAAGCCACGGCUAACUACGUGCCAGCAGCCGCGGUAAUACGUAGGUGGCGAGCGUUGUCCGGAAUUAUUGGGCGUAAAGAGCAUGUAGGCGGCUUAAUAAGUCGAGCGUGAAAAUGCGGGGCUCAACCCCGUAUGGCGCUGGAAACUGUUAGGCUUGAGUGCAGGAGAGGAAAGGGGAAUUCCCAGUGUA